rnacentral:rRNA from 1 species
AAUGAACGCUAGCGGCAGGCCUAACACAUGCAAGUCGAGGGGUAGAACACUUCGGUGUUUGAGACCGGCGCACGGGUGCGUAACGCGUAUGCAAUCUACCUUGUACAGGGGAAUAGCCCAGAGAAAUUUGGAUUAAUGCCCCAUAGUAUCUAAUCUUCGCAUGUUGACUAUAUUAAAGUUCCAACGGUACAAGUUGAGCAUGCCUCCCAUUAGUUAGUUGGUAAGGUAAGGGCUUACCAAGACGAUGAUGGGUAAGGGUCCAGAGAGGGAGACCCCCCACACUGGUACAACGACACGGACCAGACUCCGCCGGGAAGCAGGAGUGAGGAAUAUUGGUCAAUGGGCGCAAGCCUGAACCAGCCAUGCCGCGUGCAGGAAGACGGUCCUAUGGAUUGUAAACUGCUUUUAUACAGGAAGAAACCCUCCCACGUGUGGGAGAUUGACGGUACUGUAGGAAUAAGGAUCGGCUAACUCCGUGCCAGCCGCCGCUGUAACAC